rnacentral:rRNA from 1 species
UACGUAGGGUGCAAGCGUUGUCCGGAAUUAUUGGGCGUAAAGAGCUCGUAGGCGGUCUGUCGCGUCUGCUGUGAAAACUCGGGGCUUAACCCCGGGCCUGCAGUGGGUACGGGCAGACUAGAGUGCGGUAGGGGAGACUGGAAUUCCUGGUGGUAGCGGUGAAAUGCGCAGAUAUCAGGAGGAACACCGGUGGCGAAGGCGGGUCUCUGGGCCGAUAUUGACGCUGAGGAGCGAAAGCGUGGGGAGCGAACAGG